rnacentral:rRNA from 1 species
CCUACGGGUGGCAGCAGUGAGGAAUAUUGGUCAAUGGCCGGAAGGCUGAACCAGCCAUGCCGCGUGAAGGUCAGUGCCCUAUGGGCGUUAAACUUCUUUUGUGCGGGAGCAAUAAUGGUCACGUGUGGCCAGACGAGAGUACCGUACGAAUAAGCAUCGGCUAACUCCGUGCCAGCAGCAGCGGUAAUCCGGGGGAUGCAAGCGUUAUCCGGAUUGAUUGGGUGUAAAGGGUGCGUAGGCUGUGAGGUAAGUCAGCGGUGAAAUGCCCCCGCUCAACGGGGUGAAGUGCCAUUGAUACUGCCUUGCUGGAAUGCGGAUGCCGUGGGAGGAAUGUGUGGUGUAGCGGUGAAAGGCAUAGAUAUCACACAGAACACCGAUUGCGAAGGCAUCUCACGAAUCCGCGAUUGACGCUGAUGCACGAAAGCGGGGGUAUCAAACAGGAUUAGAUACCCCAGUAGUC